GACGAAGGAUGCAAGCGUUAUCCGGAUUCAUUGGGUUUAAAGGGAGCGUAGGCGGAUUUGUAAGUCAGUGGCGAAAUCUCUGGGCUCAACCCAGAAACUGCCAUUGAUACUGCAGAUCUAGAGUACAGUUGCCGUUGGCGGAAUAUGACAUGUAGUGGUGAAAUACUUAGAUAUGACAUAGAACACCGAUUGCGAAGGCAGCUAACGAAACUGUAACUGACGCUGAGGCUCGAAAGUGCGGGGAUCAAACAGG
rnacentral:rRNA from 1 species